AAUGAGGAUUUAAAUGGCCGCAGUAUUUUGACUGUGCAAAGGUAGCAUAAUUAUUAGUUUUUUAAUUGAAAGCUUGUAUGAAGGGUUGGACGAGAUGAAAUCUGUCUUUAUUUAAAUUAAAAUAUAAUUUAACUUUUAAGUAAAAAGGCUUAAAUGUUUAUAAAAGACGAGAAGACCCUAUAGAUCUUUAUUUAAUUAAAAUUUUAAUAAUUUAGGAUUAUUUUAAUUUAAAGUUUUAAUUAAAUUUUAUUGGGGUAAUAUAAAGAUUAAAUAAAUUCUUUUUAUUUAUGACAUUGAUUUAUGAAUAUAUGAUCCAUUAAUAUUGAUUAUAAGAUUAAGUUACCUUAGGGAUAACAGCGUAAUUUUUUUGGAGAGCUCAUAUCGAUAAAAAAGUUUGCGACCUCGAUGUUGGAUUAAAAAUUAGCUUGGGUGCAGAAGCUCAAGAUUUUGGUCUGUUCGACCAUUAAAUUUUUACAUGAUCUGAGUUCAGACCGGCGUGAGCCAGGUCGGUUUCUAUCUUUAUUAAUAUAAAAUGUUUUAGUACGAAAGGACCAAAUAUUUAAUAUAAUUAUAUUUAUUUUUUGAAGAAUAUU
rnacentral:rRNA from 1 species